rnacentral:rRNA from 1 species
UACCAGCACCCCGAGUGGUCGGGACGAUUAUUGGGCCUAAAGCAUCCGUAGCCGGUCCUACAAGUCUUCCGUUAAAUCCACCUGCUUAACAGAUGGGCUGCGGAAGAUAACUAUAAGGCUAGGAGGCGGGAGAGGCAAGCGGUACUCAGUGGGUAGGGGUAAAUCUCUGAUCCAUUGAAGACCACCAGUGGCGAAGGCGGCUUGCCAGAACGCGCUCGACGGUGAGGAUGAAAGCUGGGGGAGCAACCGGG